UCCUACCGGGAGGCAGCAGUGGGGAAUAUUGCACAAUGGGCGCAAGCCUGAUGCAGCGACGCCGCGUGAGGGAUGACGGCCUUCGGGUUGUAAACCUCUUUCAGUAGGGAAGAAGCCGUGAGGUGACGGUACCUGCAGAAGAAGCGCCGGCUAACUACGUGCCAGCAGCCGCGGUAAUACGUAGGGCGCAAGCGUUAUCCGGAAUUAUUGGGCGUAAAGAGCUCGUAGGCGGUUUGUCGCGUCUGCUGUGAAAGACCGGGGCUCAACUCCGGUUCUGCAGUGGGUACGGGCAGACUAGAGUGAUGUAGGGGAGACUGGAAUUCCUGGUGUAGCGGUGAAAUGCGCAGAUAUCAGGAGGAACACCGAUGGCGAAGGCAGGUCUCUGGGCAUUAACUGACGCUGAGGAGCGAAAGCAUGGGGAGCGAACAGGAUUAGAUACCCUGGUAGUCCAUGCCGUAAACGUUGGGCAAUGGGUGUGGGGGACAUUCCACGUUUGCCAGGCCGAGUCUCCCCGAUAAGUGCCCCGCCGGGAGACGGCGCAGGAU
rnacentral:rRNA from 1 species